UUGUUGAUCCUCCAAUGAUAAAGAAGCGAGCUGGCAGGCUAAAAAAAGUGCGACGACCUGAUGCAAAUGAUACCAAAGAUUCAUCGAAGGCAACAAGAAAAGAGUUAACUCAUACUUGCGCUAUAUGCCUUGAGCAAGGCCAUAACAAAAGAAGCUGUAAAAAGACACCACACCCAAAUUACAGAUUUGCAAAGGGACGAGGUGAAUCAUCUGCUGAUGUUAAUGGUCCAGCUCAGCCCGAACAGACCACGACCUGUGAUGGACAUGAUCGACGGAAAGAUGACUCACACUAGCGCAUAAGACACGAGAGUAUCUUCACCAAUACAUGCUCAGGAGGACUCUCAAAUCGCUAUUCUUGGAAAAGUUGGGACAAAUGUUCAGGCCACAAUUUCUACGCAAUCAACCGACCAAGUUAGGAUAGAAGCUACCGAUUUUGAUCAAUGUCAAACAAAAGAGCAGCCCUCAAAAGUUCCCCGAAAAUAGAAAAAAAGCCCAUAUCGACGUUCCGAAGCCAAGGAAAUGCGAUUAUCACAUUCAGCUCUCAGUCUUUAAUGGUUUUGCCACGCCUAAAUAUUAGAAUUCAACUACCUGGAUCAUCAUUUGCAUCCAGGUUACAUGCAUUAAGGUUCUCUUACAAGCCAAGACAACCUAAUACCUCACA